UUGUCCUAGCCUAUGCUCAUUCUGCUCCCUGUGCUCAGUUCCAACAGGGCAGUCUGGCAGGACACACAGCAAUCUCCCUCUCAGUUUAGGAGAGCUGUCCUAAGAAUAGGGCUGGCUCUUAAAGGCACGAGAGGACAAU
rnacentral:snoRNA from 12 species